UAGCAGUUUUAGUCAGAGAUGCAGUGUAUUGACAUGAAGCUUCGAUUGGCGGAAAGCUGGCCAAAUUUUCUGGUAUAUUAUCUGUAUUCUUUGGUAAUCUGCUUCUCAUAACUUGACCCAGUUCUCAUUGAUUGCCUGGUUUCCAGUGUGGUCUUUUACUUGCUCUGUUCAUGUGUUUGCAAGACGUUUAAACUGUUGGGCGUUAUAACAUGUCUGUUCUUUCUUGCAAUUGUCAUUGCAUCGCUAUAGGCGGCAAUUUAGGUUGUUUUUUGUCUGGAAAACUGCAGAAUAUGUUCGGUAAGUAAAAAUCCAAAUGCCCUUAAAACUGGCCAGAUUCGGAGAUCUUUUUACAUGUUCAUGGAUUACUGGUUUAUGAAUUUUCUGUAUACAACCAAAUUUUAUGGUCCAUGUAUCCAGUAUGUUAGACUUCCAUCCUGAAUUUUUGUUUGUUAGGUUUACCCUGAACUUGUUUAUGAUGUUAGGGUGCAUCAUUAUCUUGCUACUGUUAGUGGUCUACUGUGCAUUUUUUACGUGAUGUGCAACUUUUAUACAGUAUUUUCCAUUAUAUAGCAUUCUGCCUCUGUAAGAGUAUAAGUAAAUGCUCCUAACCUUAUUCAUGGAACUUUGUGUAACUAUAGCACCUUUUCUGUUUUCCUCUAAAAUAGAUGUAUAUUUCAAGGAAGCAGAUUCAUAACUAAAAUUGUGGUAUUACAGGAAAAAUCAGUUCUUGCAAAACAUCAACAGGAGACAGGCACACUGAUUGUUUAGGGCGGAUGCUCUUAGGUACCAGGAGUAUGUUGUUACCUAUGAAGCAAGGAUGCUGACUGCAUGCUCGUUGGUGGGUUCCUAAAUUUUGUGGGUUGUGAUAUCCAUGCACCUAAACAUAUGAUGUUUUAUUGUGGCAUUCUUCUCUUACAUGCAGUACUUUUGCCCACUCGGGCAAUAUCCCUUUUGCUAUUCUCUAUUGAUGUAACUUUGGUUAGAGAACUUGGGAGAUCUUGAUAGAACUUGUACCACAAGUGGAUCACCCUUUACACCAGCCUUUUAGAGUUGAUGAGCUUCAUAGAAUUUGUAAUAUGGUAGCUCAGACUUCUACACAAGUGGUUUACCCUUUUCACCAGCCUUUCAAAGUUGAUUUUUGCAGUAGUUUUCAAAACAUACUCUGCAAGUUGAUGCCCCCAUGUGUAAAAAUUGCUAUUUGGGUAAUCAAGUCUUCCAAGUUCUCCAUGAAGCCAAGCUUGCUCUUCCUUUUCUUUCUAAAAUACCCAAUGUACAUACACUGUUUCUGUAUUUUUUCACUCGCCUUUAUCUAUGUAUCCUCCUAUAAUUUGUAUGCUAUUGGCCUUUUCCUAUACGCAGUUGAAUGAGUCAUCACGUACUCUUUAGCUAUUAAGGUAUACCUGUCCAUGCAUCAUUUACAGCUUGUUUACCACUAUAUGUCGGAAACUGAGAAUCAUGAGGCUCUGAUGCUGCUGGAGUGGGGAUUUAUGUUCAAACACACUAGUAUGUAUGUAAUACUAAUACUUCACAUUGUUGUUUAUGAAGUUUUUAUAAAAAAAUAUUCGCAUGGAAUCCGAUGCUCCCUCCAUUGUCAUGGUUUUAUAUUUAGUUUCAUUGUUUGUUGGCAUUCCUUAUUAAUAAGCUAGUCCUUGUUGUAAUUUCAUGUAUAUUAAAUUGAGUGCUUAAAUUGUCCGUUGUUUCUCGGUGACCUAUGAAAUAGAGCAGACUUACAAUAUGAAUAGUAGGCUUUCAGUUCCACGCGCAAAUACAAUUGGUGAUUAACAAAAGUUCAAAGAAAGAAUGCAAAUCAAUUAUUGAUAUUUGCUCAAAGUCAUUAAAAAUCUGGGAGUUUCCAGGGAACACAUAUGGAACUGGGAUAUGAGGGUUUCUACAAGUUUUGGGCUUCAUAUUCCAACAAGUUCCAGUCAAAGCCAAUUUCAUGUUUCUGUUUUUUGUCAGCAGCUUGCUAAUAAUGCACAUUUCUCUAAAUUGCCAGUUACCUUUGAGUUGAUACAUUUUACUAUCUCGAGAUUCUUGUGGCAUUCCUGAACAAUUUCCGUUGAUCCAAAUUCUCAUCCCUCAUGUUAUGGGCCUCAAAGAGCGGCUGGAAGACUCAUUUAAG
rnacentral:lncRNA from 1 species